AGAGUUAUGCUGGACCCACGGUGAGCAACAAGGCCGGGGUCCCGUGCCGAGGCUUCCUGCAUCACCGCAGGUCGCCGAAGCACGUCAUUCAACCCAAACUGGGGUGGAUGGGGCAUAUAAUUUUUGGUAGUGGGGCUUGGCGUGCCCGCUAGGCCCCU